AUGAAUUCAAAAUAUAAAAUAUAUAAUGAGAUCCAUUUAUUAAAUAUAUGUGUUUUAUAUAAUUAUAUUUUGAGCUCAUGAUGAAUCAGGUCUAAACAAAAAUUUCUAAUAUUAACGGCGCACUUAAAACCCAAGCUAAUAAAUCAAGUCCUAUAUGAAAAAGCACCUAACAAGGUUGCCCCAAGCUAGAAACCAAACCCUAGUAAUAUGGGCAUGACCUGAAAGUGGCAGGAACAUGGUUGUAGAGGGAGCAUCGCUGACUCUCCCAAACAAAGCCAAACAAGACCUUCCAAGCAGCAAAGGAAACCGAUGAAGCACAGGAUUGUUCAUCAUGGCAAAAAGCCUACACACUGAACCCCUAAUGGAUGCUAGAAAAGCCUAUAUAUAUACAUAUAUAUUUCUUUAUGGCAAAUAAAAUUUAAAAAGAAAAACUUAAACACUAGAAAAAGGUGAAAAAUGCUAACAUGGUCCUGAGAAACAAUCCAACUUGCAAGAAAAUAAGAGAAGCAAAAUUUAUUUCAAGAGAAUAUGGGGUUGGGAAGCAAUCAGCCAUGUUGUAUAUGGGCUUGUAGUUGGGCUCAGAGAAAGCACAUUCUCUAGAAACAGGCUAAAAGG
rnacentral:misc_RNA from 1 species